GAGAAGAGGAAUAGAAAUAAAAAUAGAUAGAAGUGAGAUGUACUAAAAAUGAGGUGUUAACAUAUCUUUACUAGUGUGGGAAAGCAUGGGUUGUUCACAUGGUUUCAUGCUAUUUUAAUUUGUAGUAACAGCUACUUAUUUACUAAAUUACAUGGAUUUUCAAAGUUGGAGUUUUCAGGUCCAAGUCGAUCCAGCUAAUAGUUCCAAGUCAACUCACUCGCUAGUCAAGGCGAUCAAGCUAAGUAUGAACAUUUGACAAAUAGACCAAUAACCAUGGUAGACGCAGAGAUAGAAGAAUCAACAAAACAAAACAAAAGUAGAUGUGCAAAAAGAAGGGGGGUAUAUAAUUAAAAAUAAAGUUUGAUUCACUCUUUAAUUAAAUAAUAGAAAUUUAGUCCUAUCCUACUUCAUUAAGUCAAAUAUCAAACCUUGUCCAUCUCUAUAAAACUCGUAUAUUCUCCAUACUCCCUUUGCACAUUAAUUCAAACUCAAUCUGCAUCAUCACUUCACUAAUACUUCUCACCAUGCAAUCUUCAUCAUACAUCAAGGUUCGUCGUCUCUUAGGAAACUUUACACCUCAAGUCCUCGUUCAAGUACUGAAUUCCAUUCCCACUCCCUCGUUCAUAACAUACAGAUCGCGUGGUGGAUCCAGAAGAUCAGAUCCCAGCAAAGGGAGCGGUGGAAAACAUAACUGACAAUAGCUGGGAUUGGAAUGAAUCUAUAUAGGAACUCAGAAAUUUCAGAAUCAUAACAAUGAAGCUGGCGAUCAAAUUACUAGCGAUUUUGGAGUAUGCGGAUUAAAUACUAGCUUCUAACUAGCUAAUAUAGCUUUAAGGAUGAAUAAUGUUUGAUUGAAUGUCAAUUAGUUGUAAUCAGUGAUUCGAAAAUUAUUGUGUAUAUUUUGAAAGCAAAAAAGCAUAAAUUCCAUAACAAAAUCUUCAACAACCCAAGGCUCAA